rnacentral:rRNA from 1 species
AUUGAACGCUGGCGGCAUGCUUUACACAUGCAAGUCGAACGGUAACAGGCCGCAAGGUGCUGACGAGUGGCGAACGGGUGAGUAAUGCAUCGGAACGUGCCCAGUCGUGGGGGAUAACUACUCGAAAGAGUAGCUAAUACCGCAUACGAUCUAUGGAUGACAGCGGGGGACCGUAAGGCCUCGCGCGAUUGGAGCGGCCGAUGUCAGAUUAGGUAGUUGGUGGGGUAAAGGCUCACCAAGGCAACGAUCUGUAGCUGGUCUGAGAGGACGAUCAGCCACACUGGAACUGAGACACGGUCCAGACUCCUACGGGAGGCAGCAGUGGGGAAUUUUGGACAAUGGGCGCAAGCCUGAUCCAGCAAUGCCGCGUGCGUGAAGAAGGCCUUCGGGUUGUAAAGUGCUUUUGUAGGGAAAGAAAAGCAUCUGGUUAAUACCCGGGGGUAAUGACGGUACCGUAAGAAUAAGCACCGGCUAACUACGUG